CAAAAAUUCCCUACAUGAUGGCAUUAUCAGACAUAAAGGGAAGAUCUAUGUGGGCAAGGAUAUGGAGUUAAGGAAAAGCUUAAUGCAUGUUUUACACUCUUCUGCUGUAGGGGGCCAUUCUGGCAUGAAAGCUUCCUAUCACAGACUCAAAACAAAUAUUCUACUGUCCAGGCAUGAAAAAGGAUAUAGAUCAAUUUGUUACAUUGUGUUCAGUCUGUCAGAAGAACAAGGGAGAAACAUGCCCCUAUCCUGGAUUUCUUGAGCCUUUACAUGUACCUGAUAUGGUUUGUACCCAUGUGAGCAUGGAUUUCAUAGAGGGGCUCCCUCAAUCUGAUGGUAAAAAUGUUAUCUUAGUGGUGGUUGACAGACUAUCAAAAUUGGCACAUUUUAUCCCAUUAUCUCAUCCUUACACAGUGCAAACAGUUGCAAGAGCAUUCAUAAAUAACAUCCUCAAACUGCACGGCCCACCCCUUGCGAUUGUAUCAGACAGAGAUGCUAUCUUCACAAGUCAUCUAUGGAAGGAUAUUUUCUCGGCAAUGGGUAUUGAAUUGAGAUAUAGUUCUGCCUAUCAUCCUCAAUAAAAUGGCCAAACAGAGCGUAUUAACCAGUGCAUCGAGAACUAUCUAUGAUAUAUGACAUCCUCUGAACCCAAGAAAUGGAGCAGACAUUUGGCUAUGGCAAAGUAUUGGUACAAUACCUCCUUCCACUCCUCUCCGUAGAAAACACCAUCCGAAGCUUUGUGUGGCUACCCACCCCCUGACAUCAACCCACCACUUCCACCUCCCAGCAUUGCAAGUGAAGCUACAGAAUUCUUAUCUGAUAGAAACUCUAUGUUGCAGCAGCGGAAGGCUAAUCUUGCUACAGCACAGGCAAGAAUGAAGAAGUAUACCGAUAUGAAAAUGACAGAGAGAUUCCUGUAAGUAGGGGACAUGGUGUAUCUGAAAAUGCAGCCCUACUGUCUCAAUGCAUUUGGCCUCCACACUCAUAUCAAACUACAGAGCAAGUUCUACGGCCCCUUUCGCAUUACAGAUCAUGGGGGCAAUGUGGCUUACAAACUACUACUCCCCAGCUCCUCCAACAUCCAUCUUGUUUUCCAUGUGAGCCAACUCAAGAAGCAUUUGGGCCCUAAGGAAGUUCCCUGCUCGGAUUUGCCGUUGAUCAGUCCUAAGGGGAUAAUUCACACCGAACUAGUACUGGUAUUGGAAACAAGGCAGAUUCCUCCCAAUAAUCUACCUGUUAUCCAAUGGCUCGUCCAAUGGGAAAAUUUACCACCAGACGAUGCAUCAUGGGAAGAUGCCGACUUCAUGAAGAAAACAUUCCCAGCACUCUUCAAGAAGACAGUGCAGACCUGGUUUAACCGACCAACUCCUUGAGGACAAGUUCGUCUUUAGAGGGAGGCAUUGUCAGGUUGCUUCCACCUGCAGUAGCAUUGUUGCAUUCUUCAGUUAUCGAACGGCUAGGAAGGGACAUCAUCAAGACGAAGGAAUGGCUCACAUGGCUCGCCCCUCCUUCGACGCUCACUAUUGCAUUUACGUUUUAGUCCCUGUUCACUUUCUUUCCGUUGUCAGCUGAGGUAUAUAAGCCACCCA
rnacentral:rRNA from 1 species